CUAUGUUGGCGAAAGCUAGUGCACUCUAGGUAAAGUAGGGAGUGCAGCACUCUUUAAAAGUUAACCUGCUAUCAAAAGUAAUUAGGUGCUUCCACUAUUGUUCUGUCUAGCCACAGAUUUUGACGCUCUUGAACCCACCCCAUUCCACAUCUACCAUAAAUGGACCUUCAAAGCC